GGUACGGAUUUUCUUCGAUCUUCUUUGAAAACAAAAGGAAUUAUCGACGAUAAUAAAGAUCGUAUCUUCCGAUCAAUAAACAUUCAGAAACCAAAUAUAUCAAGAAAACAAAGUGAUUUAAAUUAUCAUAAUCUGCAGGAGUCUGUCAAUGGCAAAGAAAAGAAUACAUUACCAACAAAGUUGUCAAGUUUCCAGGAAAAAAGACAAAGUAUUCAACAAGCAAAGACUUUAAAAAACUUCAGUAAACUGACCGUUCUUCUCUUAUAUCUUCAUUUUUUACUAUCGUAUUAUUUAUCUUUUUCUAAAAGUCAACACUUUGAUGAAA